GACAGAGGGUGCAAACGUUGUUCGGAAUUACUGGGCGUAAAGCGCGUGUAGGCGGCUGGGCAAGUCGGAUGUGAAAGCCCUGGGCUUAACCUAGGAAGUGCAUUCGAAACUGCCGAGCUGGAGUUCUGGAGAGGAAGGCGGAAUUCUCGGUGUAGAGGUGAAAUUCGUAGAUAUCGAGAGGAACACCGGUGGCGAAGGCGGCCUUCUGGACCGAUACUGACGCUGAGACACGAAAGCGUGGGGAGCAAACAGG
rnacentral:rRNA from 1 species